rnacentral:sRNA from 1 species
AUAUCUCUCUGUACGGGAAGGAUGAGAAGCUUCGACUAAGGUUCGAUUCGAGCGUCAGCGAGAAAGCGUUGCCGCAGGCAACGCCCGAAGGGCGAAGCGCGCAGCGCUGAGUCAUCCUUCCCCCACCACCA